rnacentral:rRNA from 1 species
CAGCCGCCACGGUAAUACGUAGGGGGCAAGCGUUAUCCGGAAUGAUUGGGCGUAAAGCGUCUGUAGGUGGCUUUUCACGUCCGCCGUCAAAUCCCAGGGCUCAACCCUGGACAGGCGGUGGACACUACCAAGCUGGAGUACGGUAGGGGCAGAGGGAAUUUUCGGUGGAGCGGUGAAAUGCGUUGAGAUCAGAAAGAACACCAACAGCGAAAGCACUCUACUGGGCUGACGCUGACACUGAGAGACGAACGCUAGGGGAGAAAAUGGGAUUAGAUACCCCCGUAGUCCCUGUCUCUUAUAC